UGGUCUCCUGCCAGCCAAUUCAUUUCUCUUGUGAGCCAGAAGAGGAGCAGGCCAAUGUGUGUGUUCAGGUUUUGAACCAUAUGUGGGAGCCAGAGAGGAAAGGGGUGAUCAAGAAGAGAGAAAGGACCAAACAGGCAACUGAGCACCUACUAUACACCAUCAGUUAAACUACAAGCCAGACCUUCCCAUGAGGUGUUGGGCUGCCAGAAAACAGAAAAUGUGUGUUAAUGAUCCUGGUAUCUCCCACAUUAUGAGAAAAAAAGACUCAGAGGGAUUAAAAAUAUUGGUUGACUACAGAAUAGGAGACAAUAUUUGCAAACUAUGCAUCUGACAAAGGUCUAAUAUCCAGCAUCUAUGAGAAACCUAAACAGAUUUACUAGCAAAAAACAAACAACCCCAUUAAAAAGUGGGCAAAGGACAUGAACAGACACUUUUCAAAAGAAGACAUGCAUGCAGCCAACAAGCAUAUUUUUAAAAGCUCAAUGUCACUGUUCACUAAAGAAAUGCAAAUCAAAACUACAGUGAGAUACCAUCACUGUAGAAUCAGAAUGGCUAUUAUUAAAAAGUCAAAAAAUAACAGAUGCUGGUGAGGUGGUGGAGAAAAGGACACAUUUAUACACUGUUGGUGGGAGUGUAAAUUAGUUCAACCAUUGAUGGAAAGCAGUGUGGCAAUUCCUCAAAGAGCUAAAAAUAGAACUACCAUUCAACCCAGCAAUUCCAUUUCUGGGUAUAUAUGCAGAGGAAUAGAAAUCAUUCUACCAUAAAGACACAUGCACGUGAAUGUUCAUUACAGCAUUAUUCACAAUAGCAAAGAGAUGGAAUCAACCUAAAUGUCCGUCAACGACAGACUGGAUAAAGAAAAUGUGGUAUGUAUAUAUCAUGGAAUACUAUGCAGUCAUUAAAACGAAUGAGAUCAUGUCUUUUGCAGGAACAUGAAUGGAGCUGGGGGCCAUUAUCCUUAGCAAACUAACACAGGAACAGAAAGUCAAAUACUACAUGUUCACACUUAUAAGUGGGAGCUAAAUGAUGAGAACUCAUGGACACAAAGACAGGAACAACAGACACUGGGACCUACUUGAGAGUGGAUGGUGGAAGGAGGGAGAGGAUCAGCAAAAAUAACUACUGAGUGCUGGGCUUAGUACCUGGGUGACAAAAUAAUCUGUACAACAAACCCCCAUGACACAGUUUAUCAAUAUAACAAACCUGCAUGUGUACCUCUGAACCUAAAAUAAAAGU
rnacentral:lncRNA from 1 species